rnacentral:rRNA from 1 species
GACGAACGCUGGCGGCGUGCUUAACACAUGCAAGUCGAACGGAAAGGCCCUGCUUUUGUGGGGUGCUCGAGUGGCGAACGGGUGAGUAACACGUGAGUAACCUGCCCUUGACUUUGUGAUAACUUCAGGAGACUGGGGCUAAUACCUGAUAGGAGCUCGUGCUGCAUGGGGGGGGUUGGAAAGUUUCGGCGGUUGGGGAUGGACUCGCGGCUUAUCAGCUUGUUGGUGGGGUAGUGGCUUACCAAGGCUUUGACGGGUAGCCGGCCUGAGAGGGUGACCGGCCACAUUGGGACUGAGAUACGGCCCAGACUCCUACGGGAGGCAGUAGUGGGGAAUAUUGCACAAUGGGCGGAAGCCUGAUGCAGCAACGCCGCGUGCGGGAUGACGGCCUUCGGGUUGUAAACCGCUUUCGCCUGUGACGAAGCGUGAGUGACGGUAAUGGGUAAAGAAGCACCGGCUAACUACGUG